UUAUAUAUCUGUGAUGGGAGGUGAGGGUUCUACUUGGGGUGUAAGUGGAUUGUGUGCACAAAUUCAUAGGAAAAGGUAUGGGAUGUGCUGGAACUGGUUCAUACUAUCCUGGGAUAGUCAAUGGUGCAUAUCUCUUCCCAGCUCUGUGUUCAGUGAUUUCAGGUGGGUAGCUUGAAACUGGUCAUGCUGGGAAUAUUUAUACCACGUAGAUAGCAUAGGUGAAGUCUUUCCCACCUUUCUAGAAGAGUUUUUUAGCACUUACCAGCACACCACUGAUGUGCGUGUUUGGAUGUAUGUAUGUAUGAAGCAAGAAUAUUUGGGCAUCGGUGGGUACGCAUGGGACACCCAUGUGAAUUGUGAGUGGGGCAUCUGGGGCUAUGGGCCCCUGUAUAUGUGCAUUGACCCUGGUAAUUGUGAAUCAUUGCAUUGCUCCUAUCAGGUUGGUCUGUUCUUUAGGGCCAAAGAAUCCCCACAAAUGUUGUAGAUUCCCAGUAGAAAUCAUGCAGAUGGAUACAGGGGUGUCUGUACCUUAGGCAGGUGGACACUCCUUCAGCAUUUGUGUGGUCCUAGCAUCUGGGUCCCUAGAAGGGGGGGGGCCUGGUGGACAGAUGGCCAUGCAGAGCAGAACCUUCACAGGUGUGUUGUUGGCGUGACAGGCAGCAGUCAGAAAGUCACGGGGCUUCCUGGAUAGGAGGUCAGAUGACCAAGGGCUCUCCCAGGAAAAUACCCUGAGAAUCAGUUGGACAGCUGCAGGCGUUACUGGCUCUUCUGGGGCACAGCUGACGUGCAAGGACACCCUCCACAUGGGGUCCAGAGCCACGUGUCCCUGAGCCCAACUGCCCCAGGGUGGUGGGAACUGUUGCGUAUCAGGCUGGUCAACUGUAUCACUAGGUCUCAACCAACCUGUCUCCAUGGAAAUCUAAGUCCUCAGGGAUAGGCAGGACCUCUAGGGAUCAGUGAGCUGACAAGGACAGAGGUGAGGAGGCUUUGUCCCUGAGGGAGAGUUGGGGACUGAGACCUGGAGAGCCUAGGGAGUCCCACUCUGAGGAGAUAUGGCUCUGAUGUUCCCAAACCCUUUAGACAUGUUCUCUGUUCUUUUCUGAAGGCUCAAGAUGCUUCUAGCAGUGGGAAGCUUAGCUCAGUUUCAUGUUGCUCUGAUAGGAUGAACUGACCCUUUUAUUCACUAUUCCACAUCGAGCUGCAAACCCAUCAGAUGGAACCAUGUGAUCAUUGUGGCCGCCAGCUGACCCCACAGCCACCUUGUGCCUCCCUUGGACCCACCCAGGAAUUUCUGAGCCUUCUUUAUGGGAUGGGGAGGAUCUAAGUUGCUUGUCUGAGGUCACACCGCCGGAAGGGAAGGCUCUAAGAGUCCCAAGUUUCUCUUCCUCGCCCCUCUUGCUUCCUGCCCCUGGAAUGUGGGCUCCCCCCAGACGGAGCAAAGUACCUGUCAAGCAGCAUCAAAUAUCCAGUGCAAUCAAGACAACUUCUAUGAUAUGAAAGCAAGUCCUCGGGGCCAAGGCCCAUGGUCCUGCUAACUCCCUGGGAAAGAGGCCUCGAACAUCACUCGUGAUAUCAGAGAGAGCCAAGGACACACACAGGGAACGUUGCCCUGGGCAGUGGCCACUUCAUGCUUCAUGGUGUGUGACCAGUGUGAGAACGCAAGGCCGUAGGAGGGCCCCAUGCUUGGCUAAAUACUCUGCCACCACCAUCUUGAAAUUCUUGAUAAUUAUUGAACAAGGGCCCUGUAUUUUCAUUUUACACCCAGCCCUGUAAAUGAUGUAGCUGGUCCUGCUUCUGGGAAAGUUGCUUGGUCACCUUCUCCCUACCUUCCCUGUCCCCAGUCUCAGGACUUUGUGCAGGGCCAGGGCUGCACACAGUCACUAUAAGAGAUGCUUUUCCGACCACCGUUUGGAACCAAAACAAAACCAACAAAAGCCCCAGAUCCAUGCAAUUAGCCAAUAUCUCCUCACCAAGACAAAGCCCCUCUGCCUGGAAAGAUGCUGCUACUGGCUUGAGACUCCUUUUCCCCCUGAACAUCCUACCCUCCAAGGUCUUGCUGCCAUUUUGAUGUGACACAGGUCAAAUGACCAGGGGCUUUUUUCCCCUCUGCAUUUUCCUGCAUAGAUUUGCACCUGUUUCUGUGGCUAAUGUUACUGUUGGGUUUCUGUUUUCCCAUCUCUGUCCUCUCAUCCCUGCUCACACACUGCACACACAAUCAUAAAUUAUAUUCCAGGCAGGCCAGGAAUCUCUCCUCACACACAUCCCUAAUAAAAUGUUUAUCUGAUGGUUUCUAGACCAUAAGCUGCCUCCAGCCAAUUUUUGCUAACAUAUGUCACCCCUGGGACUAGCCAGAGGUGGGAAGUCAAACGUUAGCAUCAACACAUCCUUUAGAAGGUCCCUAAGAGGGCUACAUGCUCCAGGGCUAUUCCUGGAAAGUAGGUCACAACCUGUGGGAUGGCCAGACAUUCCCCCCAGUCCCAGGAAGGGGAGGAUGAGGUCAGAGAACUUGCGAUGUCGUGACCCUUUGAUAUGCCUCUCACAAGGACAAACUCUCCUCGAAGGAAGGUUAUACAUAACUGAGUGUUUCUGUCCAGGUGGUACUUAUAAUAACCAAAGGAAUUAAUGCAGAUUAGUUUUCUUUGGUGUCUGGGUGUGGUAGGCAUGAUGUCCCAAAGAUGUCCACGUCCUAGUCCCUGGUACCUGUGAAUAUGUUACAUUACAUGGCAAAGGGGAAGUAAGGUUACAGAUGGAAUUAAGGUUGCUAAUCAGCUGACUUCAAAGAUGAGAUUAUCCCGAAUUGUCCAAGUGGGACCAAUGUAACCACAAGGGUCCUUAAAAGUGGAAGAGAAUCAGAAGAGGAGGUCAGAGUGAUGCUAUGUGAGAAGGACUUGACCUGUAGGUCGAAGAUAGAACCUGGUUUUGAAGACAGAACAAGGGGCCAUGAGCCAAGAAAUGCAGGCAGCCUCCAGAAGCUGGAAAAGGCAAGGGAACAGAUUCUCCCCUAGAGCCUCCAGAAAGGAAUGUCGCCCUGUUGACACCUUGAUUUUAACCCAGUGAGAACUGUGUCGGACUUCUAACCUAUGGAACUCCUCAGGAAUGGUUUGAGUGGCACCGACCCUGGGCUGCUGGGAGCCUAGACACCGUCCACAACAUCACGGGCAAUGACCUGUGAGCUAGGAGUACCACCUGGAUUAGCGAGACUCUAGGGCAAAACAAAUGCUUUCAGGGACACUCCAGUGACUCACAGGCUGAGAAUAGAGACGAUCUUCAUUGUAACCAUCUGCAAAAGCUUCUUAUGAAUGUAUUUAUUAGAGGAGGGAACCGACAAACUACUCCAGGAAAGGGCAGGGCUUCGCUGGUUGCGCAAUGGUUGGGAAGCCGCCUGCCAAUGCAGGAGACACGGGUUCGAGCCCUGGUCCAGGAGGAUCCCACAUGCCGCAGAGCAACCAAGCCCGUGCGCCACAACUACUGAGGCUCGCGCGCCUAGAGCCCGUGCUCCGCAACAAGAGAAGCCACCGAAGUGAGAAGCCCACGCACCGCAAUGAAGAGUAGCCCUGGCUCUCCGCAUCUAGAGAAAGCCCGCGUGCAGCAGCGAAAAGCCAACGCAGCCAAAAAUGAAUAAAUAAAUUUAUUUUUUUUUAAAAAAGAGUA